ensembl:snRNA U6 U6 spliceosomal RNA
GUGCUCGCUUGGGCAGCACAUAAUACUAAAAUUGGAACGAUACAGAGAAGAUUAGCCUGGUCCCUGUGCAAGGAUGACAUGAAAAUGAAAAUUAAAAAAAAAGA